UGGGGAAUAUUGGACAAUGGGCGCAAGCCUGAUCCAGCCAUGCCGCGUGAGUGAUGAAGGCCUUAGGGUUGUAAAGCUCUUUCGCCGGUGAAGAUAAUGACGGUAACCGGAAAAGAAGCCCCGGCUAACUUCGUGCCAGCAGCCGCGGUAAUACGAAGGGGGCUAGCGUUGUUCGGAUUUACUGGGCGUAAAGCGCGCGUAGGCGGAUAAAUUAGUUAGAGGUGAAAUCCCAGGGCUCAACCCUGGAACUGCCUUUAAUACUGUUUAUCUAGAGUAUGAAAGAGGUGAGUGGAAUUCCGAGUGUAGAGGUGAAAUUCGUAGAUAUUCGGAGGAACAUCAGUGGCGAAGGCGGCUCACUGGUUCAUUACUGACGCUGAGGUGCGAAAGCGUGGGGAGCAAACAGGGUUAGAUACCCUGGUAGUCCACGCCGUAAACGAUGAAUGUUAGCCGUUGGUGGGUUUACCCAUCAGUGGCGCAGCUAACGCAUUAAACAUUCCGCCUGGGGAGUACGGUCGCAAGAUUA
rnacentral:rRNA from 1 species